GAUGAACGCUGACAGAAUGCUUAACACAUGCAAGUCAACUUGAACUUCGGUUUGGGUGGCGGACGGGUGAGUAACGCGUAAAGAACUUGCCUCACAGCUAGGGACAACAUUUGGAAACGAAUGCUAAUACCUGAUAUUAUGAUUUUAGGGCAUCCUAGAAUUAUGAAAGCUAUAUGCGCUGUGAGAGAGCUUUGCGUCCCAUUAGCUAGUUGGAGAGGUAACGGCUCACCAAGGCGAUGAUGGGUAGCCGGCCUGAGAGGGUGAACAGCCACAAGGGGACUGAGACACGGCCCUUACUCCUACGGGAGGCAGCAGUGGGGAAUAUUGGACAAUGGACCAAGAGUCUGAUCCAGCAAUUCUGUGUGCACGAUGAAGUUUUUCGGAAUGUAAAGUGCUUUCAGUUGGGAAGAAAAAAAUGACGGUACCAACAGAAGAAGUGACGGCUAAAUACGUG
rnacentral:rRNA from 1 species